rnacentral:rRNA from 1 species
UACGAAGGGGGCUAGCGUUGUUCGGAAUUACUGGGCGUAAAGCGCACGUAGGCGGAUUUGUAAGUCAGGGGUGAAAUCCCGGGGCUCAACCUCGGAACUGCCUUUGAUACUGCAAGUCUUGAGACCGGAAGAGGUGAGUGGAAUUCCUAGUGUAGAGGUGAAAUUCGUAGAUAUUAGGAAGAACACCAGUGGCGAAGGCGGCUCACUGGUCCGGUUCUGACGCUGAGUUGCGAAAGCGUGGGGAGCAAACAGG